CCUACGGGAGGCAGCAGUGGGGAAUAUUGGGCAAUGGGCGCAAGCCUGACCCAGCAACGCCGCGUGAAGGAAGAAGGCUUUCGGGUUGUAAACUUCUUUUCUCAGGGACGAAGCAAGUGACGGUACCUGAGGAAUAAGCCACGGCUAACUACGUGCCCGCAGCCGCGGUAAUACGUAGGUGGCAAGCGUUAUCCGGAUUUACUGGGUGUAAAGGGCGUGUAGGCGGGAAAGCAAGUCAGAUGUGAAAACCAUGGGCUCAACCUGUGGCCUGCAUUUGAAACUGUUUUUCUUGAGUACUGGAGAGGCAGACGGAAUUCCUAGUGUAGCGGUGAAAUGCGGAGAUAUUAGGAGGAACACCAGUGGCGAAGGCGGUCUGCUGGACAGCAACUGACGCUGAGGCGCGAAAGCGUGGGGAGCAAACAGGAUUAGAUACCCCAGUAGUC
rnacentral:rRNA from 1 species